UACGUAGGGUGCAAGCGUUAAUCGGAAUUACUGGGCGUAAAGCGUGCGCAGGCGGUUUUGUAAGACUGUCGUGAAAUCCCCGGGCUUAACCUGGGAAUGGCGAUGGUGACUGCAAGGCUAGAGUUUGGCAGAGGGGGGUAGAAUUCCACGUGUAGCAGUGAAAUGCGUAGAUAUGUGGAGGAACACCGAUGGCGAAGGCAGCCCCCUGGGUCAAAACUGACGCUAAUGCACGAAAGCGUGGGGAGCAAACAGG
rnacentral:rRNA from 1 species